AAAUGUAAAACACAUAUUCUGUCCCCCAAUUUCUCAGUGAUUUCACAGGCUCAGUGCUACGGCUGGAUGUGGACACAGACAUGUGCAACGUGCCUUAUUCCAUACCAAGGAGCAACCCACACUUCAACAGCACCAACCAGCCCCCCGAAGUGUUUGCUCAUGGGCUCCACGAUCCAGGCAGAUGUGCUGUGGAUCGACAUCCCACUGAUAUAAACAUCAAUUUAACGAUACUGUGUUCAGACUCCAAUGGAAAAAACAGAUCAUCAGCCAGAAUUCUACAGAUAAUAAAGGGGAAAGAUUAUGAAAGUGAGCCAUCACUUUUAGAAUUCAAGCCAUUCAGUAAUGGUCCUUUGGUUGGUGGAUUUGUAUACCGGGGCUGCCAGUCAGAAAGACUGUAUGGAAGCUACGUGUUUGGAGAUCGUAAUGGCACAGCAUGGAUUCUAGUCCUGGCGAGGAAGUAUCAUUCUCUGGAUGAAGGGGAGGGCUUUUCUCAUACUCAGGAAUUUCUUAACUCUCCAGCAAAGUCCUGUGACAAAGCAGUGGCAAGAAAAACCACUCUGUCUCGGCACUAGUGGGUCCUGUAGAGGCUACUUUUCAGGUCACAUCUUGGGAUUUGGAGAAGAUGAACUAGGUACUGUACAAUCUAGUUCUGUUAAGUUUCAUUCUCACUUCCUUUUUCAAGAGGCUUUGUUCUGCCCUGAAGAAUAAAUACAGCAAUCUUAUCCUCUACUUGUUGGAAAUGUAAUCUACAGCAAAGAUGACCUACUCCAGAGAUUAAGACAGUCCAGUUACAUAUUCUCUACCAGUAACUUUUCCCUGAGAGC
rnacentral:sRNA from 1 species